rnacentral:rRNA from 1 species
AUCACAUUGAAUUCAUCGUUUCUCGCCCGAUCACCGAAGUUAAGAAACGACGGGCCUAGUUAGCACUUAGAUGGGUGAUCGCUUGGCAAACUUAGGU